AGAGCGAAAAAGUACUCUAUGGAAGCAUCUGCUAAGAUGUGUGAGGCCUACAAGGCAUAUUUCAGCAUGCCUGUCAGGGAUCCAGACAAACCCUGGGCUUCUUAUUUCACCUGCGAGCAAUGCAAAAAAAACUCUGGAAGGAUGGUAGAGAGGGGAAAAGAGAGCCAUGAAGUUCGCUAUCCCAAGAAUUUGGUGGGAUCCUACUGACCACUCAAGCAACUGCGACAUCUGCGUGGUGGACCCUUCCAAACGUCGGACUGCUCAUCCAGGAGCCUCAAAGCGUGCUGUUCCAUAAUGGUAACAAGUACCCAUCUCUUCCCCUGGUUCACUCGGCGCACCUCAAAGAGGAUUACAACAGCAUCAAGACCUUGCCUGACGUCUUGAAGUAUGAUGAGUACGGCUGGGAGGUCAUCGGAGACUUCAAAAUGGUGGCAUUCCUGAUGGGUCUCCAAGGCGGUUUUACCAAGUUUCCCUGCUAUCUUUGACUUUGGGACAGCAGGGACACCAAGGUGCACUACCACAGGUGGGACUGGCGACAGCGGACCGAGUUCUCUGUGGGGAGGAACAACGUCAAGUGGGAGCCACUGGUGGACCCCCAGAAGCUGGAAGUGGACGAAGAAGAGCGGCACUGGGGGGGGGGGAAGGGAAGAAAGGCACACAUGGAGUACGAAGCGAGGAAGCGCUGAGAGCUGGCGGUGCUGGUGAUGCCGUGGGUGGCUACGGAGCGCGCGGAUGCGCA